UGCCCCGUAGUGUAAUUGGCAACACGUCUGACUCUGGAUCAGAAGAGUUCAGGUUCGAGACCUGAUCGGGCAA
rnacentral:tRNA from 1 species